rnacentral:rRNA from 1 species
AUUUUUUGUCUACCUUUUAAUUUAAGAUAAACUAUACCUAUUAAAAACUUUAAUUUUUUUUAGGGUGAAACUAUUUUUUUAGUUUGUAGUAAUAUUAAAUAAUUUUUUAGUCCUGAAAUACUAAAGAAACAAAAAUUAUAAAUUAAGUAAUUGUUAAAAGAUGGGUUUGUGGAAGAUUAGGUUGUUGGUAGAAAUAACAGUUUACCAAGCCUUUGAUCUUUAGUUGGUCUUAGAGGACGUACAACCACACUGGAACUGAGACAAGGUCCAGGCUAAUUUUUUGGCCAGCAGUGAGGAAUAUUGGACAAUGAACGAAAGUUUGAUCCAGCAAUAUUAUGUGAAUGAUUGACGACUAAUUUUUGGUUGUAA